GACGAACGCUGGCGGCGUGCCUAAUACAUGCAAGUCGAGCGAAUGGAUUAAGAGCUUGCUCUUAUGAAGUUAGCGGCGGACGGGUGAGUAACACGUGGGUAACCUGCCCAUAAGACUGGGAUAACUCCGGGAAACCGGGGCUAAUACCGGAUAACAUUUUGAACCGCAUGGUUCGAAAUUGAAAGGCGGCUUCGGCUGUCACUUAUGGAUGGACCCGCGUCGCAUUAGCUAGUUGGUGAGGUAACGGCUCACCAAGGCAACGAUGCGUAGCCGACCUGAGAGGUUGAUCGGCCACACUGGGACUGAGACACGGCCCAGACUCCUACGGGAGGCAGCAGUAGGGAAUCUUCCGCAAUGGACGAAAGUCUGACGGAGCAACGCCGCGUGAGUGAUGAAGGCUUUCGGGUCGUAAAACUCUGUUGUUAGGGAAGAACAAGUGCUAGUUGAAUAAGCUGACACCUUGACGGUACCUAACCAGAAAGCCACGGCUAACUACGUGCCAGCCGCCGCAGUAA
rnacentral:rRNA from 1 species